GCUAGCGGCAGGCUUAACACAUGCAAGUCGAGGGGCAGCGAGUAGAUUGCUUGCAAUCUAUGUCGGCGACCGGCGCACGGGUGCGUAACGCGUAUGCAACCUACCCAUUACAGGGGGAUAACACUGAGAAAUCGGUACUAAUACCCCAUAACAUCCAGGGAGGCAUCUUCUUGGGUUGAAAACUCCGGUGGUAAUGGAUGGGCAUGCGUUGUAUUAGUUAGUUGGUGGGGUAACGGCUCACCAAGACAACGAUACAUAGGGGGACUGAGAGGUUAACCCCCCACAUUGGUACUGAGACACGGACCAAACUCCUACGGGAGGCAGCAGUGAGGAAUAUUGGUCAAUGGACGCAAGUCUGAACCAGCCAUGCCGCGUGCAGGAAGACGGCUCUAUGAGUUGUAAACUGCUUUUGUACGAGGGUAAACGCAGAUACGUGUAUCUGUCUGAAAGUAUCGUACGAAUAAGGAUCGGCUAACUCCGUGCCAGCAGCCGCGGUAAUACGGAGGAUUCAAGCGUUAUCCGGAUUUAUUGGGUUUAAAGGGUGCGUAGGCGGUCGGAUAAGUUAGAGGUGAAAUCCCGAGGCUCAACUUCGGAAUUGCCUCUGAUACUGUUCGGCUAGAGAGUAGUUGCGGUAGGCGGAAUGUAUGGUGUAGCGGUGAAAUGCUUAGAGAUCAUACAGAACACCGAUUGCGAAGGCAGCUUACCAAGCUACUUCUGACGUUGAGGCACGAAAGCGUGGGGAGCAAACAGGAUUAGAUACCCUGGUAGUCCACGCAGUAAACGAUGAUAACUCGUUGUCGGCGAUACAAUGUCGGUGACUAAGCGAAAGCGAUAAGUUAUCCACCUGGGGAGUACGUUCGCAAGAAUGAAACUCAAAGGAAUUGACGGGGGCCCGCACAAGCGGAGGAACAUGUGGUUUAAUUCGAUGAUACGCGAGGAACCUUACCCGGGCUUGAAAGUUAGUGACAGAUCUGGAAACAGGUCUUCCCUUCGGGGCACGAAACUAGGUGCUGCAUGGUUGUCGUCAGCUCGUGCCGUGAGGUGUCGGGUUAAGUCCCAUAACGAGCGCAACCCCUACCGUCAGUUGCCAGCAGGUCAAGCUGGGCACUCUGGCGGGACUGCCGGUGUAAGCCGAGAGGAAGGUGGGGAUGACGUCAAAUCAGCACGGCCCUUACGUCCGGGGCUACACACGUGUUACAAUGGCAGGUACAGAGGGCAGCUACCCAGCGAUGGGAUGCGAAUCUCGAAAGCCUGUCUCAGUUCGGAUUGGAGGCUGAAACCCGCCUCCAUGAAGUUGGAUUCGCUAGUAAUCGCGCAUCAGCCAUGGCGCGGUGAAUACGUUCCCGGGCCUU
rnacentral:rRNA from 1 species